UCUUCCCAAUUUUUAUCCCCGUCCUCGCUCCUUAUUAUUUUUAUGUAACAAUUAAUUCAUCCAUAUUAAACUGUGACAGAGGACAUCACUUAUGUGUUCCUUGAAAAUUCUGAAUUCGGGUCAUUAUCUUCUAGCUAAUUCUUUCAUAGUUUAACCAUGUUCUGCAAGUUAGUUGCUACUCCAGAUUAUCAAGAGUGUGCUCGAUCCUUGUGAGGAUGAAAAUGAUGACAUUCAAGAUGAUGAUGUGAGCUUGGGGGCUGAUUUUGUACAAAAGAGUGUUCUGAAUUUCAUUUCAUUUCAUGUUUUGGUCAAUUUCACGUAUAUAUUAUGUGUGUAUGCAGUGUAAUUCUUAACUAAAAUUUUGUAUUUGUGGUUGUGUUAUUGGGAAACAGAUAGCAAAGAUCGUGGAUGAGGUCCUUGAUGAGCAGGGUGGAAAGCGUCUUGUUCCAGUGGGUCUUGGAGAUGAUGAUCAAUGCAUGGAAGAUGACUUUGCUGCAUGGCGGGAAUUACUUUGGCGCGAGUUAGAUCAGUUGCUUAAGGAUGAUGACAGUUCAACUGUUGCAACUCCUUACACUGCUGCUGUGUUGGAAUAUCGUGUGGUAUAUCAUGACGGCACAGAUGCAUCAAUAUUGGACAA